GCCACUGAAAUGUACACUUAAAAAUGGUUAAAAUGGCAAAUUUUAUAUUAUGUAUAUUUCACUCCUCCCCACCCCCCAGCACACAAAAUAGUGAAGGACAGAACUAAUCAAAUUUAAAAUAUGGUGAAUACCCUGGAGUUGGGACAAGUCAUUUCCUCUCAGUCACCAAAGUCUAUGCAAUGAGAUUAUAGGUAGGUGUUACUUCACGGAUUCUGUUGCAUCCAGGUGCCAAUUACAGAAGUAUUUCACAUGCUUUAAAAGUGAGUGAUCAAUGCAGAAGCUUCUGAGGGCUCAUCUCGUCACUAAACAUCGAUCUCAAAUAGGAAAAAAUUCCAACACAGAUAUAUCAUUUUCCUUUGUUUAUUUCAUAUCUAAAUAAAUUAGGAGGCUAAAUGAGAUGAAAAAUAUUUCCUUGAUAGAGUAUUAAUCAUUAGAUAAUAGACAUCAUGAAAAUAGCUCAUCAAAAUUCAUUAACGUUUUAUUAAUCCCAUUUUUUGGAAACCUUUUUUUUUGAUUUGAAGAAUAAUAAUCUCUUUUAGCAUAUGAUAACGUAUUGCUGUGCUGCAGACAAAGCAUUAGGGCAUUCUACACAGUAAGUAGAGUUUUUCCUGUUUAGCGUUACUGGUACUCUAGGUGUUGAUUCUCAUGAUCUUGGGGUACUUUCUGCACCUCUGUUUGUAAUGUGAGUUUUCAUGAGAUUCAGUGGGUCACACUUUCUGGUGUCAGAGUCACAGAUCAGAAGUCAAGGCAGGAAAACUCAAUAUUAUCCUCUUUUGAAAAACUUAUUUGGCCCCCAAAGGGGAAGGCUAUCAGAACAACACUUAGCUGGGCUUCCUAGCUUCUCCAGCAUGUCUUGUAGAUAAUUGUCUCUCCUCCUUGGUCCUGCUACUUCCCUGGACUGCAAUAUUUUCCCGGCUUCUGUUUGCCUGUUUAAAUUCUAACCACACCUCAAGGCUUGUUGGAAGCCCUGUCAGCACCACGACCCCUUCCUCAUCGAUAGCCCAGCUCUCCUGUGAUGGUCUUGUAUAGCAUUAUUUUCUGACGUGUUGGUUCAGAAUUAUCAUGCACUGAAUUCACACAUCUGCUCUUUGUAAGGCUGUAUCUGUGGUAGCCAGCUUCCAAGAUGGCCCCUAGUGAUCCUCACUUCCUGGAUUUCACAUACUUGUGAAGUUUCCUUCCAUAUUUUAUUAGGGUUGGUUUGUGUGACCAAUAGUGUAUGGCAGUAGUGAUGGUAUGUCACUUCUGAUAAUAGGUUAUAAAAAGACUCUGGCUUCUAUCUGGGGUGCAUGCUCUCUCUCUCUCUCUCUCAGAUUAUUCUCUCUGAGGGAAGCCAACUGCCAUGCUGUGGGACCACUCAGACACCCUGUGGAGAAGGCCACGUGGUGAAGAACCAAAAGGUCUCUGGUCAACAACCAGGGAAAAACUGAGGCCGGACAACAACUACCUGAAGCAGUGCUUCCCUUAGUGGUUGAGACUGCAGCCCCAGCAGACGGCUUCACGGCAACCUUCUCAGACGUAUGAAGACCAUGCCAGUGCUAUUGAUGCGUCCUCCUCCUACAAAUUACAGUGGGAUUGAUGAGAUGCAGUUUCCUUUGACCAAAACCAUUUUUAUGGCACCCUGAGACUCUACCCUAGUCAGUUUGAUCAGAUUCAGCCACAUUCUACUGUAAUUCUGGAUUUUGGAUACAUCCUGUUUCUCUAAUCAUCACAUUUACAAUGUACCUCUUACAGUGGGCCAUUUGGUUGAUAUUUCUCUAACUUCGUCUCAGAGACCAUCCCAGUCUUACAAAUUCUAGCCUUUGUAAUGGAACUUCCACCACUGCAUUUACUGUACCAAAUAAAAAUAGUAAAAGCAAAUAUGGAAUUUGUUAAAAUUGUUCCAAGUUAAAUUUGGUGUUUGUUCUUCCCUAUCCUGAAUUGAUGUAAAUCAUAAAAGUCAUUAUUCAGACACAUGAAAUGACAUCUGGAAAACAAAGCUGUGUUACUAUUCAUCUGAAGUGCUUAUGAAAAGCUGUUAAAGUGAAUAAUUUGAAGAGCUUGGAAAUAUAUUAAUUCUGUAUGAGGCAAUCAUGCAAAUUAAGAGGGGCCCAUAGGUCCUUGGUCAAAUUGGAUAAGGCCCAAAAGAAAUUUAGUUUUGAACAAUAAUUUUAAUACCUCUUAAAAAUAUUACCUACAUUUAUUGAUUAUGUCUUUGUUAGAUGUUUUCUUGCCUCUAACUGCAAUUUAGAAAGACUGGCAAAAAUAUAAGAAGGCUAUUGAAUUCUCAAUUUUUAUUUUUCUAUACUACAAAGUUUAACACUUAAUUACAAUCAUAUUUUGUACUCAACUUGCUUUUUUAGUCAUUUUUUGAAUGCUGAACUAGAGAUUUGAAGGUUUUUUAGUUUCAGCUCUGGUUACUAGCUAUGUAAAUCUCAAUUGUUUAAUUUCUAAAGUAGAAAUAAUCAUCCCUUUUCCGUCAUCAAAUUAUGUGAGCAUCAAGUUGUUCAUAAACAAUAAAGUCUUCUAAAAACUAAAGGUCUUGUUAAGGUCUCCCGAGGAGAACCGAAGCCUGGAUUUGGGUUUACUUCUUACUGGUUUAUUGGCUGUGUGAUUUUAGAUAUGCUAUUUAACCUCUCUGAGCCUCAGUUACUUCAUUGGUAAAAUGAGAAGAAAAAAACCCUGGAAAAACCCCCAAUUCCCUCUUGAAUCUCUCGAGUAGUUUUGGGGUACUUACAGAGGUGCCAAGGGUACUCUAUGAGAUGUUGCUCUUGCUUAUCCAGGGCUCCCCAUUUCCCUCCUAUACUCCUCUGCCUCAGUGUAGCAACGUGUCCCAUGGCUGCAGCAGCUGCUGAUGUACUAUUAUCUGUCGCUGAGUAACAGAUUACCUCAACAUUUUGUGGAUUAAACAAUAAAAAUUUAUUAUCUCACAGAGUCUAUGGGUCAGAAAUCCAGAGGUGGCUUAGCUGGGUGUUUCUGGCUCAGGGUCUUUCAGGAAGCUUCAGUCAAGAUGCUGGCUGAGGCUGUGGUCAUCUGAAGGCUUGACUGGGGCCCGAGGGUCUGCUGCCAAGAUAGCUCACAUCCAGGGCUGUUGACAGGAGGCUCAGUUCAACGGUGUGCUGAAGCUGGCUCGUGCCUGCUUUCAAGAGGGAAGUGUUAAAAUUUAAAAAUUUUGCAAGCCAAUUAUUAAACACAGACAUUAUUGGAAAUUAUGUAAACUUUAUUUAAAUAAAUUAUAUUAAAAGCUAAGGUAAUAAAUACUCGAAGCUCUUCACUUCCUCAUUGUUUUACUACCUUUUUCCUUUCUUGAAGGUCUCGUGGUUAUUUAUCUCUAUUGCGUCUGUAGGGAGGAAAUACUGCAUGGUUGUGUCAGGCUGCACAUCUCAGUCUCAGCCUAUCUUUGAAUUCAAUGACGUUAAGUUGGUAGCUUGAAAUCAGCCACGGUGGGAGUAUUUAUACUAUCGAUAUCUGCAAACACUACAAAUCAGAACUUAGUUUAUUGUUGUAUUGAUUGUUCAGACUUUAGAAAGUGCAAAUUGUGUCCUACAUAUCCUUUAUAAUGGUAAAAUUACAUAUGUAUAUACUAACAUACAGGAGUCAGGGAACAUUGGGGACCAUUUUGGAGGCUGACUACUACAGUACUACCUCCUGGUGUGUGAUGAUUCAUGUCUCUUCCACAAGCAAAAUACACUCACACCCCUCCCAAGACCCCCCCAAAUCUCAUUCUGUGACAACCUCAGCUUGAAGUGCAGAAUCCCAUUGUUGAAAUCAGGCGCAGAUACAGAUGUGGCUCAGGUAUAGUUUUUUAAGUACAGCUCCUGAGUACAGUUGCUUUUGAUCUCAACACUUGUGAACCUAAAGAACCAAGCGAUUUUCCUCCAACACAACCAACACAUGGUGGUGGGAUAGGGGUAAGAUGACUGCAGUAGACACUCUAGUUUAAAAAGGCGGAAAACAGGAAGUACACAAGUGUCAGUGGUCUGAGACCUAGCUGGGCAUAUUUUGGAAGUUGCUUGAUGAGGAUGUAGUCCUACUACUUCUCCACGGUUCUUACGUUUACCCUCUAAGCCCUUGGCUCUGAGUCACUUAUCUUUUUCCAUGAAAGGUAAGCCAGGUUUGCAGCUGCAUAGCUUUCAAGCCUGUUCACUGCAAGUUGAAUUUUGGGAGUCCAAAGUCCUUUUUGCCCUUUUUUGCCGUUUCUGUCCCUUUCAGUUCAAGGUAGUGGUGUUUCUGCCAAUAUAAUUGUCUUAAAAAUUUUGUAUGUUCCUUAUUAGACAAAAGCCAUGUCUGCAAAUCUUUUCGAGAUAAGUCCUUGUCUAACUUGAGCUUCUGCUGAGAUUGCUGAGGAAAUUCACCCUUAAGCGUCUUAGAAGCCCUAUUGUUUGACUGAGCAGUUGCCUGAAGCAUCAUAUUAGACCUAUGUGAGGUUUUAGCAAAGGGCUUUAUAACCACAACUUUGACUUUAUCAUAAGACCGUAUUUUCCUGGUAAUGUCCUGGGCUUCAUCUUUUCCUGGAAGCCAUUUCUUAACUGGGACGUUGUUAGUCAUCUGGAGAGGCUGGGAAGUUUGAAAACCAGGAAGUCCUUGUUCCUUUUUGUUUAAAAGUCUUUCCUUCAGCUUAUCUCUCUCUGCUUGCAUUCUGCUAUCAGCAUCAAGAAGCAAUCAAGCAGCACCUUCAACACUCUGCAUUGACGUCUUUUUAGCUAGAGCACUCCAUUUGCAUGGUACAUUUCCUACUUUCAAUGUAACUGCAGGAAAUAGUGUCACUAAACUUUCUGAUACUACAUAACAGCACCCCUUUUCCUCCAGUUUCCAAUAAGCUUUUCAUCCAUCACCUUUAAGUCCCAACUUAGACCCUCUUUAAAGGCGAUCUGGCUUCUAACAGCCUGUUCACCACACGUUAGGCUCCCACUAUACUCUCCCCAAAGUCCUUGCCACUUCUGCCCACUGCCUUUUCUAAAACCACUUCCAUAUUUUUAGUUAUUUGUUCCUCUGGUACUCUACUUUCAAUACUAAAAUCUGUAUUAGUUAUAUACUGAUAUGCAACAAAUUAUUCCAAAACUUAGUAGCUUAAAUUACUAAACAUUGAUCAUUUCACCAGUUUUGUGGGUCAGGAAUCCAGAGCAGCUAGGCUGGGUGAUUCUGGCUGGAGAUCACUAAUGAGGCUGAAGUUAAAUUUUUGGCUUGGGACAAAGUGAACUGAAGGCUUGACUGGGACUGGAAGAUCUACUUCUAAGAUGGCUCACUUGCAAGGUUGUUGACAGGAAGCCUCAGUCUGUCACUGGUGUUUUGGCAGGAGCCCCCGUUCCUCUCCAUGUAUCCUACCUAUAGGGCUGUUUAAGUGUUAACGGCAGCUGACUUCUCACAUAACAAGUGAUCCAAGAGAGAAGAAAAAAUUACAGCUGCGUUGUAUUUUAUGACCUAUUCUGAGAAGCCAAACACUGACAUUUCCACAAUAUUCUACUGGUUUCAUAGAUCCACCCUAUUCAAUCAACAUGGGAUUAUACAAGGACAUAAACACCAGAAGGCAGAGAUCCUUGAGAGCUAUCUUGGAGGCUGGCUACCACAGAUACCAAAUUCAGCAUCUAUGCCACAGUUGUUCACCGAAGAUUUCUUGCUACUGGGACUUCACAUAUAGACCAGAGCUGUAUGGAGGUGCUGUGCUUGGUGCCUGGGCUGAGGCUGAGAACUACUGAAGUUGAGAUUGCUGAUGUCUCUUAGGUAAACACAACGUUUACAAAGCACCACUACACUGCCUAGAGCCGAAUAAGCAUGGCAAGAAUAAUGUUUUUUCUUCUCAUUCUUAUUUUAUAGAAGAUUCUGGAUCAAAUUCUGGCCCGGAAAUGCAAUUGGCAGCUUCUGGCACAAAUAUGGAGGACAAUCUUGCUCUCGCCAUGCCCAUCGAAACUGUAGUGAAAAACUCUUGGUUUUCACUGGUCCCCUGUCAUAGUCCUUUGACUGGGUCCUGGGGAGUUGGGUCUGUGGACUCUCUGAAUUAUGGGCACUGUGCUUCCCUCCAGCCCAGUGACUGGGCUCUUAGCUUAUCUUUGAAUCAAAUUUUGUCUUUGAACCAAAUCAAAUGUCCCCUCCUUUCCAUUUUGCCUAAAUAUUAAUUGUUGUCACCCUUCAUCUCCAGCCUGGGUCUCUUCACAUCUUCAUGCGAGUAAUCUCUGGAGGCUCCACCCUCACUUCAGGCUCGAUAGUACAUGCCUGAAUCGUAUUUGUGCUUGGACUGGGGCAUUUUCUGCUACUAACACUUGAAGCAACUAAAAACACUAAGCAACUAAGCUUAGGAUCUAAAACUGUUAGUUGACUGAAGAAGCAAUGUAUGUUCUCAACCUAGGAGGCUGGUGCCUUCUUUUCUCAUCUGUAGCUCAUCUCUGAGCAACUGUUAUCAGGCCCCAAACAUAAAUGGUACUGUUGUUGGAUAUCAUUUUUUGAUCAUAUUUGUUUGGGGCAGAAGAUACUGCCUUGAAGUUGACCCUUCUGUUUGAUUUCUGACGAAAUUAGAAUGAGAAUCAGGAAAGUGUGGAAUUGUUUGAAGAGUUUGGUGCUUGACAUUUGAAAAAAAAAUCUCUUUCUCCAGGCACAGUUGUUCAAAGCAAACAAUGCUGCGCAAUGCAUUACGUACAAGCCAGUUCAGGUGCAGCUUUUCAGAAUUCUCUUGUCCUGUGUCUGUUUCCACCACUGAACACUCUGGUGAUUCUAUUUCCUGAAGACUCUGUGGAGCCCCACAUGCAGGCAUGAUAGGGUCCUCUGAAGUGGGAUCACAGCACAGAAAAUAGAGGGACAACUGCAUUUUAAAAUAGUGAUACCAACCACAUAGACUACAGAUUACAAAGAUAAAUGCUACCAUUAUUUUUAAAUAUUCGAAUAAAUUAUUUCAUAAAAGUGACCUAGAUUUGUUUAGAAUGGGAUAAUAUGAGAGGAAAUCAAUUGUUAGCAAAAAAUCAACAGAUAGGGACUUUGAUUUAGGAUUUGGCCUCCUCUUUUUAGGUUGAUUUGAAUCAGAUAAGCCAGGGAUUUACCAGCUCUUUAUACUGUCUCUUUGGAGGCCUUACAUGAGGUGGACAGGAACAGGCUCAGGGGAAAGAGCCACAAGGCCUUGGAGAAUCAGGGGGAGGAGUGGGUGUAUGGGAAAAUUUCAGGAAAAGUCUGGAAGAAACCAUGGGCCUGAAAAACAAGAGGGCCUGGGUGUCUACUCUGAAAACGUAGAGAGAAAAGAAAAACUAGGCAGAAAGAAGUAUAUAGAAGCUGAACUCCAGGCCUGUAUGAAUCGUGAUGGAUGAUCGCCCCUUUUAGCUUGUUGGCCCAAGUAGAUUCAAUUGUUUUUUCAUUCAUUUGGCUUGUUCAUUCAUUUGUUCUCAAAAAUUAUUUUUGACAGCUACUCUGUGUUAGAUACUAUGCAAGCUCUGCAGAACCAAUCCCACUAUUUUAGGUUUUUUGGCUCCACCCUAGCUAACAUCUGUCAAGUCUAGUUCAAGGCAUUGCCCAUUCAUAUAAUCAAUAUCUUGAGGAUCAAAUACAAUGCCCCAUAGCCAUCCCCCAACAGCCAAGUGUGUAUACUUUUAAACUUCAAGACACAGUAGAGAGAGUGAGCUUCAGAGCCAAUCCUUUAAAAGCAAGGCUUCAGGUAGUCCAGCGCAUUUCACAUCUCAAAGGCAAAAGGAUGUGCGAAGCCAAAUGAAAAGAAGAUGGAACUCUGGAAACAUAACCUGGGGGGCUAAGUUAAACCAGCUGUAGCAGAAGUGGCGACGCUGAUCCUUGCUCUGAGAGGUCAGAGCUGAUUUUCAGCCUGUGCCUCUGAAAUGAUUUUCACUGCGGACACAGCUGCAAGUUCUCUGUCAAAGGCAGAUGGCUCCCUGGAAUACGUUUCAUCUUCUACAUCUCUGGCUCACUAGUAUUAGCAGUGCUGUAGGUGUUCCUCCUACUGCUGCUUUUCUCAAGCUAGAGGUGUGCAGUAACAGAGGCUCCGCAAAUGCAGGCUGGGUUUCUUCCUUGGCUUGGUCUUUGCAAUAUAUGACUUUAUUAAAGAUCAUAUAAAAAGGCAAUAAGGAGGCAGAAUCAAAGUCAUAAUUUUGCAUAACCAUUAGACUGAAGCAGUCAUUCAUCGUGCUUAAAUAUUUUCCUAAAGCAAAAGAAAAUAUGAGAAUGAGUCACGCCGUCCAGGCCUCGUUCUCUUCCGGAGGCGAGCUGCAGCGCUGGCGAUGGAGGGAGCCUGCAGGCAAAAACAGCCCUGCCUCUCCACCCACGCUGCCUGUGUGGGACUGCCAGUGAGUCCUCGGAAGUCAUCACUGUUACAAAAUGACAGCAUGCAAAUUAAAGAAAAAAACAUUUAAAAUGUGUUGCAGUUAAUAUUCUUUGGGUUUGUGUUUUCGUAUUGCUGUACUGUUAAAGUAUAAGGAAGAUGUUCCCCAUCUUGCAUAUGUCUUGCUACGAGGUUAAUUUUCCAUUAAUUCACAUCUUAAUCACAUUCAACAAGCCUUAAAGGCCUGUCCAGGAUGGGAAAAGCACAGCUUGUAACUAUUCUGCAGUUCCAAUUAUCUAACCACCCACACUUUAAAACCAUACUCUUCUUUAAUCAUACUUAUCAUUUUCAAAAAGGUGCUUCAUUUGAACUCAAGCAGCUGAAACAGUUUCAUUAUUUUAGAUAAAGCUUGCUUUAUUUCCUUUUGUUUUUAGUUACUUUGUUGAACAUUAUGUAAGUCACUGUAUCAAAACAAUAUCAGUCUGUACAUAUUUGGGGAAAAAUCAUUAUCUCUAAACUUGAAAGAAUUGAGCAAUUAAUUGAGAGUCAUUGCUGUGCAUUUAAUUAUAUUUCAUAUUAAUAUUAAUAAACUGUUAAGGUUUCUAUAAAAAUCUCACAUUAAUUAUUUGAUAAGGUCAGAGGAAAGCUUGACCCAUCUGAGAAUUUGAGUCAAAUUUCUACCCAGAGUGAUUACACUAAAAGAAGGAAAAAUCCCCCAACAUUUUGGCAUGUACAUCUUGGAGGACUUCGAGGUUGCCUUAUUUUUCUCUUUUUCUCAGACAGAAAUGUACCUUAGGCAAAGAUAAUUUGUUUUUCAUAAUUUUUCUGCAUUACUUUUCUAUGAUUAAGUAUUAUUCUCCAGCUAUUUCAACUAAUUAUCAUUGUCUCCCUAAAGGCUGAUGAAACAAGGAAUCUGAGCAGAAUUAGACUAAUUUUACUCCAUGGCUUAUUAGGCAUCCACGAGCACGUGUUACUGUGCUAAGUACUGUAUCAAGCAA